rnacentral:rRNA from 1 species
GGUUACUGCUAUCGGGGUUCGAUUAAGCCAUGCGAGUCAAAUGUUCUUCGUGAACAUGGCGAACUGCUCAGUAACACGUGGACAACUUACCCUUAGGACUGGAAUAACCCCGGGAAACUGGGGAUAAUACCGGAUAAAUCAUAGAUGCUGGAAUGCUCUAUGGUUCAAAGCCCUCCGGCGCCUAAGGAUGGGUCUGCGGUCUAUCAGGUUGUAGUGGGUGUAACGUACCUACUAGCCUACGACGGAUAUGGGUUGUGAGAGCAAGAGCCCAGAGAUGGAUUCUGAGACAUGAAUCCAGGCCCUACGGGGCGCAGCAGGCGCGAAAACUUUACAAUGCGGGAAACCGCGAUAAGGGGACACCGAGUGCCAGCAUUUAUGUUGGCUGUCCACAUGUGUAAACGGCAUGUGUUAGCAAGGGCCGGGCAAGACCGGUGCCAGCCGCCGCGGUAACACCGGCGGCCCGAGUGGUAAUCACUUUUAUUGGGUCUAAAGGGUCCGUAGCCGGUUUGAUCAGUUCUUCGGGAGAUCUGACAGCUCAACUGUUAGGCUUCCGGGGAAUACUGUCAGACUUGGGACCGGGAGAGGUAAGAGGUACUACAGGGGUAGGAGUGAAAUCUUGUAAUCCCUGUGGGACCACCAGUGGCGAAGGCGUCUUACCAGAACGGGUCCGACGGUGAGGGACGAAAGCUGGGGGCACGAACCGGAUUAGAUACCCGGGUAGUCCCAGCCGUAAACGAUGUUCGCUAGGUGUCAGGGGCGGUGCGGCCGCUUCUGGUGCCGUAGGGAAGCCGUGAAGCGAACCACCUGGGAAGUACGGCCGCAAGGCUGAAAC